UGGGGAAUAUUGCACAAUGGGGGAAACCCUGAUGCAGCAACGCCGCGUGAAGGAAGACGGUUUUCGGAUUGUAAACUUCUUUUCUUAGUGAAGAAGCAAGUGACGGUAGCUAAGGAAUAAGCAUCGGCUAACUACGUGCCAGCAGCCGCGGUAAUACGUAGGAUGCGAGCGUUAUCCGGAAUUACUGGGUGUAAAGGGAGCGCAGGCGGGACUGCAAGUUGGAUGUGAAAUACCGCAGCUUAACUGCGGAGCUGCAUCCAAAACUGUAGUUCUUGAGUGGAGUAGAGGCAAGCGGAAUUCCGAGUGUAGCGGUGAAAUGCGUAGAUAUUCGGAGGAACACCAGUGGCGAAGGCGGCUGCUGGCUCUAACUGACGCUGAGGCUCGAAAGUGUGGGGAGCAAACAGGAUUAGAUACCC
rnacentral:rRNA from 1 species